UUAAAACUUAGCGCUUUGCUCCGCCUGGGCAGGCGUGCACCACGUGACCCACAGCCCCUUUCACUUAGUCAUCUUUCAGGCAGAAUGUUGUGCUUUUUACUGACGUUCCUGUGAACUGAGAGGAAACAACAACAUGGCGGCCUUCGUGUUACUGAGCCUGGCUCCCUGCACUACCCUGGUGGACACCAGGAAACCUACAGAUCCCGGGUCCUGUGUCGAUGACUGAACCCGGACAAGCAGUUAAGACUCAAAGCAGAUCUACUCCACGCACCUGGAGUUAAGAGUUUGAGCAAGCACAAGUACGUCCCCAGGCCUGGCCUCGAACCGCGAUCCUCCCGCUCUCUGCCUCCUGAGCAGCUGGGAUUACAGGCGUGAGCGCCGGCACCCAGCUUGAAUUCGUCGCUCUGAGGACUAGGACUUGUCCCCACAGGGAAAACCCAGUCCCAAACUGGAAAAAUGGGUUUGCCCCUUGGUCCUCACCAACCUGACCUCCCAGGUGGAAUCUGACUGCAGACAGACAGAC